UUACGUUUGCCGUCUCUGAAUUUUUUUUUGGUUUUU
rnacentral:sRNA from 1 species